UCCAGCCAUAGCCUGAGCUAAAAGAGUAGCC
rnacentral:piRNA from 1 species